GAUGAACGCUGGCGGCGUGCUUAACACAUGCAAGUCGAACGAACCUUCGGGUUAGUGGCGGACGGGUGAGUAACGCGUGAGAAUCUGCCCUCAGGAGGGGGAUAACGGCUGGAAACGGCCGCUAAUACCCCAUAUGCCGCGAGGUGAAAUGAAUUUCGCCUGAGGAUGAGCUCGCGUCUGAUUAGCUAGUUGGUGGGGUAAAGGCCUACCAAGGCAUCGAUCAGUAGCUGGUCUGAGAGGAUGAUCAGCCACACUGGAACUGAGACACGGUCCAGACUCCUACGGGAGGCAGCAGUGGGGAAUUUUCUGCAAUGGGCGAAAGCCUGACAGAGCAAUACCGCGUGAGGGAUGACGGCUUUCGAGUUGUAAACCUCUUUUAUCAAGGAGGAAGUUCUGACGUUACUUGAUGAAUAAGCAUCGGCUAACUCCGUGCCAGCCGCCGCAGUAAAAC
rnacentral:rRNA from 1 species